GUAGUCUCGCACAGAUGCAUAUCAAUAAGCGGAGGAAAAGAAACUAACAAGGAUUCCCUUAGUAACGGCGAGUGAAGCGGGAAGAGCUCAAAUUUGAAAUCUUGAAAGGUCACCUUUCACGAAUUGUAGUUUAAAGAAGUGUUUUCUGUUACGAUCGUAAUAUAAGUUCUUUGGAAUAGGACAUCACAGAGGGUGAGAAUCCCGUCUAUGAUUGCGAUUUGUAGCUUUGUGAUACACUUUCAAAGAGUCGGGUUGUUUGGGAAUGCAGUCCAAAAUGGGAUGGUAAAUUUCAUCUAAAGGCUAAAUAUUGGCGAGGAGACCGAUAGCGAACAAGUACCGUGAGGGAAAGAUGAAAAGAACUUUGAAAAGAGAGUUAAAUAGUACGUGAAAUUGUCAAAAGGGAAGCGUUUAACACCAGUGUUGUUUUCUGAAAAUCAACCUCUGUUAGCUUUAUGCAUGUUUGUUUAGACCUAAUCAGCUAUCUUGCAUGUUCUAUUGUUUGCAGUGGUGCACUUUUCAGUUUACAGGUCAACAUCAGUUUUUUUUACCGUAAAAAAGUUAAAGAAAGGUAGCUCAUGGCUCCGGUCGUGAGUGUUAUAGUCUUUUUCCUAUGCGGUAGGAGAGACUGAGGUCUGCAGUGUAGGCUAUUUGGCUAGAUACUCAGGUGCUAUGUGAUACCAUUUCAUAAACAACUUGUUGAUUAUGUUUUGUCUAUUGCAUACUCGCUUGUACUAUCAUACCUACGCUUAGGAUGUUGAGUCGUAGAGCACGCAG
rnacentral:rRNA from 1 species